GAAGGUCAUUACAAGCGCGAUUGCCCACAGUUGAACCAGAAUCAGAACAACAACAAUAACCAGGGCAAUGGGAAUAACAACAACAACAAUGGCAACGAGGCAAGGGGUCGAGCUUUCAUGCUAGGACAAGGAGACGCUGUUUGAACUUAUAACUCGUUUUGGGAUUUCCUUUAUUAUGUCUCUGUUACUCAAACAAAGUUUGGUUUGAACAUGAAUCGUACUGGGUUUUAUGGACUAUUUUAAUUACUAUACUUUAUGUUUGAUAUGAUGGAUGGUUUGAUAUUAUUUGAACGCUCCUGCCGUAUUUAAGGACCUUAUGAACAGGGACCUUAUGAACAGGGUGUGCAAACCCUACUUAGACAAGUUCGUCAUAGUAUUCGUGAAGUCCACUUCUUAGGCCACGUAGU
rnacentral:lncRNA from 1 species